CAAUAGCGUAUAUUAAAGUUGUUGCAGUUAAAAAGCUCGUAGUUGAAUUUCUGGCGGGCGCGCCGGUCUUCCAAGUGUUGUACUGGGCGCAGUCCGCCAUCCUUGUGGAGAGGACUCGCAUUGAGUUGCGUGUCGGAUCUGCAUCAUUUACUGUGAAAAAAUUAGAGUGUUUAAAGCAGGCUGUCGCUUGAAUACAUUAGCAUGGAAUAAUGAGAUAGGACUUCGGUCUAUUUUGUUGGUUGCGAACCGAGGUAAUGAUUAAUAGGGAUAGUUGGGGGUAUUCAUAUUUAAUUGUCAGAGGUGAAAUUCUUGGAUUUAUGAAAGAUGAACAACUGCGAAAGCAUUUACCAAGGAUGUUUUCAUUAA
rnacentral:rRNA from 1 species